rnacentral:rRNA from 1 species
UGGGGAAUUUUGGGCAAUGGGCGAAAGCCUGACCCAGCAACGCCGCGUGAAGGAUGAAGUAUUUCGGUAUGUAAACUUCGUAAGAAUAGGAAGAAUAAAUGACGGUACUAUUUGUAAGGUCCGGCUAACUACGUGCCAGCAGCCGCGGUAAUACGUAGGGACCAAGCGUUGUUCGGAUUUACUGGGCGUAAAGGGCGCGUAGGCGGUGUGUCAAGUCAGUUGUGAAAUCUCCGAGCUUAACUCGGAACGGUCAACUGAUACUGUCACACUAGAGUACAGAAGGGGCAAUCGGAAUUCUUGGUGUAGCGGUGAAAUGCGUAGAUAUCAAGAGGAACACCUGAGGCGAAGGCGGGUUGCUGGGCUGAUACUGACGCUGAGGCGCGAAAGCC